GAGCGAUGCAUUGCUUCUUUCGUCAGGAGACUUUUAGUUGGUGGAUCCCGUCCUCUAAAGUCUCCAGCCUCUUUGCGUGGCCCUAGGGAGCAUAAGUACAUCAGCACCUGUCCCAUUGGUGCACUUGCACAAAGACUGCUAGGCAGAUGCUACAGCUACCACAGUGCUUGGAUUACUGUACAUAAAGCUGCAUCAGAAUCCAGAGAUGGGCAUGG